rnacentral:rRNA from 1 species
UGGCUCAGGAUGAACGCUAGCGACAGGCUUAACACAUGCAAGUCGAGGGGCAGCAUAAAAGUAGCAAUACUUGGUGGCGACCGGCGCACGGGUGAGUAACGCGUAUGCAACCUACCUAUCAGAGGGGAAUAACCCGGCGAAAGUCGGACUAAUACCGCAUAAAACAGGGACACCGCAUGGCGAUAUUUGUUAAAGAAAUUCGCUGAUAGAUGGGCAUGCGUUCCAUUAGGUAGUUGGUGAGGUAACGGCUCACCAAGCCGACGAUGGAUAGGGGAACUGAGAGGUUGGUCCCCCACACUGGUACUGAGACACGGACCAGACUCCUACGGGAGGCAGCAGUGAGGAAUAUUGGUCAAUGGGCGAGAGCCUGAACCAGCCAAGUCGCGUGAAAGGAAGAAGGAUCUAUGGUUCGUAAACUUCUUUUGCAGGGGAAUAAAGUGCAGGACGUGUCCUGUUUUGUAUGUACCCUGAGAAUAAGGAUCGGCUAACUCCGUGCCAGCCGCAGC